rfam:Schistosoma rodhaini strain Burundi genome assembly, scaffold: SROB_scaffold0006165
AUCCAGCUUAUGAGUCCCAAAUAGGACGAAACGCGCGUCCAAGAU